GCCAUCGCAACCACCCAAACCGGCCUCACCUGCACCCCGCCACCUCGCCGCUCUCGUCGACGCGUCACUCACUCUGCCUCGCCUUCCGCUACUCGCACCACCGCAGGUCACUAUGCACCGGAUCCCGUGGUGCCUAUCUCUGCUGUCGAUGCUUUUAAUUCUCGGUUCUUUCUCCGAGCGCAUCAAACCCGGUGGCGUCUGUCAAGUGGUUCAUGAUUUUUUAUGCCAACCUACCUAGUGGGGUCUCUGAUUUUCGAGGUCGUUUUUACGAAGAAGAAACUCGACUAUUUUACUGCCCUUGCUCAGAAAGGGGGAGAUUAUUCUUGAGGGGGAGUUGACAACGAAGCAUCAACAACCCAGGAGGAACCGCAUACAGGGGGAGCUGAUGCAGCUGCUGGAACUACUACUGAACUGUUGUUGCUCCAACUGUUCCAACAGUUGAUGGUACAACAGCUGAAGUUGAUACGAAUGAUGACGAGGAGUUGUUCGUUGAUGCUGAAUAUAUUCUGGAGUAGUUUUUUUGUGGUUGUCGAAUUGAUUUUCUGAACAACGGCCUCUAAUAGUCUGCUAGGCUUAACUUUUUUCUUGUUUCGUUAACUGCUUUUUCCUUUAACUGUUCUAACAGUUACUCUAUUAUGCAGUCUAAUGUUUUGUCAGGUAUUUGAUCAAGG
rnacentral:lncRNA from 1 species